UCAGGAUGAACGCUGGCGGCGUGCUUAACACAUGCAAGUCGAACGAUGAUGCCCACUUGUGGGUGGAUUAGUGGCGAACGGGUGAGUAACACGUGAGUAACCUGCCCUUAACUCUGGGAUAAGCCUGGGAAACUGGGUCUAAUACCGGAUAUGACUCCUCAUCGCAUGGUGGGGGGUGGAAAGCUUUAUUGUGGUUUUGGAUGGACUCGCGGCCUAUCAGCUUGUUGGUGAGGUAAUGGCUCACCAAGGCGACGACGGGUAGCCGGCCUGAGAGGGUGACCGGCCACACUGGGACUGAGACACGGCCCAGACUCCUACGGGAGGCAGCAGUGGGGAAUAUUGCACAAUGGGCGAAAGCCUGAUGCAGCGACGCCGCGUGAGGGAUGACGGCCUUCGGGUUGUAAACCUCUUUCAGUAGGGAAGAAGCGAAAGUGACGGUACCUGCAGAAGAAGCGCCGGCUAACUACGUGCCAGCAGCCGCGGUAAUACGUAGGGCGCAAGCGUUAUCCGGAAUUAUUGGGCGUAAAGAGCUCGUAGGCGGUUUGUCGCGUCUGCCGUGAAAGUCCGGGGCUCAACUCCGGAUCUGCGGUGGGUACGGGCAGACUAGAGUGAUGUAGGGGAGACUGGAAUUCCUGGUGUAGCGGUGAAAUGCGCAGAUAUCAGGAGGAACACCGAUGGCGAAGGCAGGUCUCUGGGCAUUAACUGACGCUGAGGAGCGAAAGCAUGGGGAGCGAACAGGAUUAGAUACCCUGGUAGUCCAUGCCGUAAACGUUGGGCACUAGGUGUGGGGGACAUUCCACGUUUUCCGCGCCGUAGCUAACGCAUUAAGUGCCCCGC
rnacentral:rRNA from 1 species